UAACAAGUGUCAAUACUGUGCUAGGAACUCUGGGUGGAAAGAUGUAGAAUUUGUUUAGUCUAGUGAGUGAUAGUUUUAAUCCAGAGUGGUCCAUGCUCAGCAGACCUACAUACACAGACCCCAGAAGAGGGACACUUAGGCCAGCCUGGGCAUUCGGGGAAGACUGCAGAGAUAACACAUGAACUAAGUCCUGUUUGAUAGUGAAAGAAGGAAAGGCAUUCUGGGCAGCGAGAACAGCAUGGCAAAAGCAGAGACCAUAAAUAGAGUGUUCUGUUAGGGAUUAGGUAUUUAGAGAUGUGCAAUGAGUGGCAGCAGGUGAGUCCAGAGGGUGAAGGCCAGUCCAGGCCAGGACAGACUUUGCAGGCUUUGUCCGAGAGCUGAGGCAUCAUUGGGGCAUCAUUCUGAAAGUUAUGGGGAGCAUGGAAAGGAUUUUGGAAGGGGAGCACCCUAGCCAGACCCCUUAGACUCUGAUUGUAGAUUGAAGGUACUUGAAUGAAUGAACCCGAGGUUCAAGGGAGGAGUCAAGGCUAGGCAUUAUCGGGAAAUAGGUGCGUUAUUGUUCACCAAUACGUAUUUUAAGGGUCACUGAAUGCUGGGCAUGGUUCCAUAGCAAUUUUAGAAAAAUAAUUCUUGUUUACAAAUUUAGGCCUAUUUUGUGUCCCACUUGGAAAAUAUAUCAAAAGACAUAUUCGUUGGCUUUCCUGGAAUUGUUUUUGAAACAUCUUUGUCUUCCCAGAAACCGGAGUACACAUAUCCAACUCUGUCUGAGUCUGUGCUGACAUAAUGCAGUGAAGAUGAUAUUUUGCAAUUUUUAUGGUUCAUGGGUGACUCAUCAAGGUCAUCCAAGCUAAGAGCUCAGAAAACACUUGGGACAAGGACCUAGAAAUGUACUUGGUAUAUCAUAGAUGUUCAAUAAAUGUUUAUAGGUGUGUUGUUGUUGUUUUUAUUAUUAAUUUAGAAAGUGGCCCUCAGAGUCUAGAAUUCACUAUCAGUCUAGAGCAUUAUCACCUGGGUUACUAAUAGUAAGCAUAUCAUUCAGGUACUUGACUUUGUAACUUGCAGUCCUCAAGUCCAGCUUGAAAUUUGGAAUUUGUUACUCUUCUAACUCAGCUCUCCCGGGUAUCAGCCAGAAUCUAUCACAUAAAAAAUUUAUUUAUGUAGGUAAGCUUCACUUUCCUCAACUAUAGAAUGGGAGAAUGCAACAGGGUUAAUGUUGGUACCUACUUAAUUCGCCUAUUGUGAAGAAAAGAAGAAAUAUUGUGAGUGAAGAGCUCAACCCUUGUGCUUGUUAUUACUUUUUUUUCUGUCAGUAGGUACAUAUGUUUGUUCAUAUCAGUCUAUUGUUGCCCAAUUAGUGUCCAGACUGUUUUUCAACUUGAUUUUUCACCAGCUCUUGAAAUGUCAUUCAUUUGUAUGUAUCUCAACUCCUGUUUUUUUGUUUUGUUUUCCUUCAUGAUAGAAUCCAUGGAAUGAAGCAUCCAGCCCUGUGUUGGGACAAAUAUUCUAGUCCAGGAAGUAGCAAACUAUGGCUGUGGGACAAGGCUGGCCAGCCACCUGGUUUUGUAAAUAAAGUUUUAUUGCAACACUG